rnacentral:lncRNA from 1 species
AGCCAUUUAUCGGCCCCUCAGCGCACGGAGCCGCCCAGGCCCGCCCGCUCCCCGCACGCUCCGACGCCAUCGCCGCCGGCACGCGCUUCCCGCCCACCCCCGCGCGCCUAUCGCCCCGCCCACUCACCGCCCCGCGCCGGCACGCCCCCUCCCGUCACGCGCGGCAGCGUGUCCCCCAUGUUUAGAGCGGAAAAUGGCGGCGCCUGAGCGGCGGUUGUGCCGGUCGGUGCGUUGGCAGGCCGGGAGCUGAAUAAAAGGGUACACCGGCGGUGGAAAGAGCAUACGUGCCUUCGUGGGAAGGCGCAGGGUAAUCCAAUGGCUUUUCAAAAUGGAAUGGCGCUAUUUCCAUAAGGCUCGGAUACGGCAUGGCUUCCUGCCUUCCUGUUGGCUGGAAUCCUGCUGCUCUGCGCCGCAGACCUCGUAUCGUUUGCCAGCUCAGAGGCAGAUUUUGGAAGCCAGAAGAAAUGAGUUCUCUUCCCGCUGCUGUCGUGACGUGACAAGCACAAGCAGCAGGGAAUGAAGGGUUUUAAGAAGAUGGAAUGAACUGCUUCAGUCAUGCUGUGACAGCGCUGACACUCUCAGCCUCCUUCCUGAAGCUGUCACUUCCAGGUAUGUUGAGGACAAAGCUUUAUGUAGAUUAUGAUGUAUAUUCACUAUAUUCAGUCUUUUGGGGGGGCCUUAGGCUCCCAAGUUCUUGAUGGAAUGCUUCCUGAUC